UGGAUGAUGUGGUUUAAUUCGAUGCAACGCGAAAACCUUACCACCUUUGACAUGGCAGGAAUCCUGAAGAGAUUUGGGAGUGCUCGAAAGAGAACCUGCACACAGGUGCUGCAUUGGCUGUCGUCAGCUCGUGUCGUGAGAUGUUGGGUUAAGUCCCGCAACGAGCGCAACCUUUUCCUAUUUGCCAGCGGGUUAAGCCGGGAACUUUAAGGAUACUGCCAGUGACAAACUGGAGGAAGGCGGGGACGACGUCAAGUCAUCAUGGCCCUUACGACCAGGGCUACACACGUGCUACAAUGGUCGGUACAGAGGGUUGCCAACCCGCGAGGGGGAGCUAAUCCCACAAAGCCGAUCGUAGUCCGGAUCGCAGUCUGCAACUCGACUGCGUGAAGUCGGAAUCGCUAGUAAUCGUGGAUCAGAAUGUCACGGUGAAUACGUUCCCGGGUCUU
rnacentral:rRNA from 1 species